rnacentral:lncRNA from 10 species
AUAUAAACAUGCAUACAUAUAUAUAAUACACUUCUCUAUCUCUGUCUCUUUGGCUGAUUCCCUCUUCCUCUGCCUGCCACUUAAAAGUUGGUAUCCCCAUAACCUUGCCUAUACUCUCCUUGUGUUGCCUAUGCAGACUAUCACUUUUGUGGCUUCAGCUUCCAUUUCUGUUCUGAUGACUCAAUGGAUAUCUCCAGCCAUCCAUCACAUAUGAGCUCUAGACUCAUAAAUACUCCUGCUUGUGAGAAAUUUCCAUCUGGAUGUCCAACAGGCAUCUGCAACAUGUGUCUAAAUGGGAAUUCAUCUUUCUUCCUGAACCUGUUUAUCUACCUCUCUUUCCAUUUUCAGAGAAUGCUUCC